rnacentral:rRNA from 1 species
AUGAACGCUGGCGGCGUGCCUAAUACAUGCAAGUCGAGCGAACGGACGAGAAGCUUGCUUCUCUGAUGUUAGCGGCGAACGGGUGAGUAACACGUGGAUAACCUACCUAUAAGACUGGGAUAACUUCGGGAAACCGUAGCUAAUACCGGAUAAUAUUUUGAACCGCAUGGUUCAAAAGUGAAAGACGGUCUUGCUGUCACUUAUAGAUGGAUCCGCGCUGCAUUAGCUAGUUGGUAAGGUAACGGCUUACCAAGGCAACGAUGCAUAGCCGACCUGAGAGGGUGAUCGGCCACACUGGAACUGAGACACGGUCCAGACUCCUACGGGAGGCAGCAGUAGGGAAUCUUCCGCAAUGGGCGAAAGCCUGACGGAGCAACGCCGCGUGAGUGAUGAAGGUCUUCGGAUCGUAAAACUCUGUUAUUAGGGAAGAACAUAUGUGUAAGUAACUGUGCACAUCUUGACGGUACCUAAUCAGAAAGCCACGGCUAACUACGUG